rnacentral:rRNA from 1 species
AGAGUUUGAUUUUGGCUCAGGACGAACGCUGGCGGCGUGGAUUAGGCAUGCAAGUCGAACGGUAUGGCACCUUCGGGUGUCAUAGAGUGGCGAACGGGUGAGUAACACGUAGGUUAUCUACCCUCAAGAUCGGGACAACCCAGGGAAACUUGGGCUAAUACCGGAUGUGAGCAUCCUUUUUGGAUGUUUGAAAGGUGGCUUUUAGCUGUCGCUUGAGGAUGAGCCUGCGUCCUAUUAGUUAGUUGGUGAGGUAAUGGCUCCCCAAGGCUAUGAUAGGUAGGCGGCCUUAACGGGUGGUCGCCCACACUGGGAUUGAGAUACGGCCCAGACUCCUACGGGAGGCAGCAGUCGAGAAUAGUCUACAAUGGCCGAAAGGCUGAUAGCGCGACGCCGCGUGAACGAGGAAGCCCUUCGGGGUGUAAAGUUCUUUUAUAUGUGAGCAGUGCCGGUCAUAUUAAUAGUAUGACUGGAGCGAUAUUAGCAUAUGAAUAAGCAACGGCUAACUCCGUGCCAGCAGCCGCGGUAACACGGGGGUUGCGAGCGUUGUCCGGAAUUACUAGGCGUAAAGGGCAGGCAGGCGGACCUGCAAGUUUUCUGUUAAAGACGUCAGCUCAACUGGCGCACGGCAGGAGAUACUGCAGAUCUUGAAUGCGGUUGGGGAAGACAGAAUUCCUGGUGUAGCGGUGGAAUGCGCAGAGAUCAGGAGGAAUACCAAAGGCGAAGGCAGUCUUCCAAGCCGUUAUUGACGCUCAACUGCGAAGGUGUGGGUAUCAAACAGGAUUAGAUACCCUGGUAGUCCACACAGUAA